GAGGCCAAUUGCACGUGACGACAAGCAAUCGGAAAGCGUAUUGAGGUGGGUUGUGCUCACCGAAGCGAUUAGGUCGCUUUCCAUGCUAAAGUGUAGUAUGUUUACUAUUGACGCAUGAUAAAGUAUGCUAUUUAAGAAUGCAUGAUAAAGAUUAAAGUAUGCUAUUUGAGAAUGCAUGAUAAAGUAUGCUAAUUAAGAAUGCAUGAUAAAGAUAGAUGCCAAAUGAAUGCAUGAGUUGAUGUUAAUUUAUAUGUGCAUAUUAUAGAAAUGCUAAAUAGAUGUCAAAUGAAAGUAUGAGAUUUGUACUAACCGAGAAUGCAUGUAGUAAAUGUUAACGAAUGCAUAAAAUGCUAAGUAAUGACUACCAAUGGAUGACAAAAUAUAUGCAUGUUGAACAUAGAUCGAGUGGCAUUCGAAAUGGUAAAGUGGACACUAGAGUUAGUGUGGGACAACAAAGAAUAAAUGUGAUGUAAAGAAUAAUGAUAAUGGCUAAAGAUAAUGUAAAACAAUGUGAUGAUAAUAAUGUAAUGUUGCAUGAUGUGAGUACACGUGCUUAUUAGAAUGAUUAAGAAUCUAAAUAAUCUAUGUGUAUGCAUGAGAUGUAAUGUGAGAACCUAAUGAUAAUGGCUUGAGACAAGGCAAAGCAAUGUGAUGUAAAGAAUAAUGAUAAUGGCUAGAGGCGAUGUAAAGUAAUGUGGCAUAAAGAACAAGCAAAGUGUAAAGAACAAUGAUAAUGGCUAGAGUUAGCAACCAAUGUGACAUGAAGCACACUAGAGUUAGUGUGUGGCAACAAAAGAACAAGUGUGGUAUCAAGAAUGACAAUUACUAGAGUAAUUGACAAGUGGGGUGUAAAGAACAAUGAUUGCUAGAGUUAGCAACUAAUGUGAUGUAAAGAACACUAAAGUUAGUGUAAAGCCAUGAUUCAACUACAAAUCCUUUGAGUUAAGGAUAUGAUCAUACUUGCUAUGAGUUCCGUGCUCGAGGGCGGUCGCUCCCCCUCGGGCGAUGCGCUCCGGAGUUAUGCAUCACGGGUUGGAGUAAACCCGAAGGACGGUCCUAGCUGGUGAGUUCCUGCGAUGAUGGACUUAAUGUGAAGCAAGUUAAUGUGGCGAAACCCCCGGGUUAGCCGUGAGAUUAAAGAACAAAGAACAAAAAGGAAUCAUGAAUUGGAAAGUGGAUCUUGUAUUCAUUAUGAAUUGACUCAAGACCGAGUCGAGUGGCAUAGUUGGCUAGGGUAAAGGUAACCCUGUGAAAGAAUGACAAUUGAGAAAGAAUGACAAUUGAGAAACGUUUGUUAAUGUUAUAAAGAAUGGCAAAAGUGUAUAAUGCGCCUAAGGUGCGAGUGCCCUUAGCAAAGAAUAAAGAAUAAAGAAUAAAGAAUAAAGAAUAAAGAAUAAAGAAUAAAGAAUAAAGAAUAAAGAAUAAAGAAUAAAGAAUAAAGAAUAAAGAAU
rnacentral:lncRNA from 1 species